AAGGCCGGAAUAGCUCAGUCGGUAGAGCAGAG
rnacentral:tRNA from 14 species